rnacentral:rRNA from 1 species
AUACGUAGGGCGCGAGCGUUGUCCGGAAUUACUGGGCGUAAAGGGCGCGUAGGCGGCGCUUCAAGUCGUCUGUCAAAUGGGAGGGCUUAACCCUUUUUCGCAGACGAAACUGGAGAGCUUGAGAAGCAGAGAGGCAAACAGAAUUCCUGGUGUAGCGGUGAAAUGCGUAGAUAUCAGGAAGAAUACCAGUGGCGAAGGCGGUUUGCUGGCUGCAUACUGACGCUGAAGCGCGAAAGCCAGGGGAGCGAACGGGAUUAGAUACCCCGGUAGUCCUGGCAGUAAACGAUGUAUGCUGGGUGUGAGACUAGCGAUAGUUUCGUGCCGAAGUUAACGCGAUAAGCAUACCGCCUGGGGAGUACGGUCGCAAGAUUGAAACUCAAAGGAAUUGACGGGG